UCUGAAUUGAUCGGUGGAAAUGUCGGCGGGUGCUGCCGGCGAGGGUUUCCAGCGGGGAUUUUGCAUCUCCGGGAGAGACAUGAGCAUCGAGAGGCGGCCGUACCAUAAGAAUUGCAAGUGCGCCUUGCAUAAGGAUAAUAAGGGAAAUUUCACAAGGACGCGUACGCAUUUGGAUUUGGUGCUAUACAAGGACGUUGAUGAUGAUCACGAGGUCGAUUAGUUUUUCUUUUUCUUAACAUUUUAGGGAUUGGGGGGCAUAUUUUAGGAUAAAUUGUCCACAAAAUACUGCUAUUAUUAUUAUUCCAUAUUUAACCUUUUUUUUGGGAGAGGAGUAAUUUUUUUUAUAAUUUUGGUGAAAGAAAUUGUUUGAUUUGGGGCUUUGGGUUUUUUUAUCCAUGCGCUUGUUCAAAUACUGGUUUAAUUAUGAAUUGAUCAUAUAUUAAAGAUA